rnacentral:rRNA from 1 species
UCCUGGCUCAGGAUGAACGCUAGCUACAGGCUUAACACAUGCAAGUCGAGGGGCAGCAUGAAGUUGCUGCAAACUUGAUGGCGACCGGCGCACGGGUGAGUAACGCGUAUCCAACCUUCCCUAUACUAGAGGAUAGCCCGGCGAAAGUCGGAUUAAUACUCUAUGUUCUUCGUAGAAGACAUCUGAAAUGAAGCAAAGGUUUACCGGUAUAGGAUGGGGAUGCGUCUGAUUAGGUUGUUGGCGGGGUAACGGCCCACCAAGCCCACGAUCAGUAGGGGUUCUGAGAGGAAGGUCCCCCACAUUGGAACUGAGACACGGUCCAAACUCCUACGGGAGGCAGCAGUGAGGAAUAUUGGUCAAUGGACGAGAGUCUGAACCAGCCAAGUAGCCGUGCAGGAUGACGGCCCUACGGGUUGUAAACUGCUUUUAUACAGGGAUAAAGUGCACUACGUGUAGUGUUUUGUAGGUACUGUAUGAAUAAGGACCGGCUAAUUCCGUGCCAGCCGCGGC